UUUUUGUUUGUAUCUGUUAAUUAGGGUUUAGUCUAUUUUUUUAAUUAGUUAUGGUUUGAUUAAUAUGCGACACCAGUUAGUGUAUAAAGUUUUAGUAUGUUGUGUGUAAUCGGUUAAUAAUAUUUGUUAGAUUAGUGUAUAUGUUAGUCAGUUGUUAUAUUAAGUGUGCUCCUCUUGUGGGUCUACCACCGGUCACUUACUACGCCGGCGAUGGACACCAGCAAGCUCUGAGGAAGAACGCGAAGGCGCUCUGGCUCAGCCUGGAAUAGUUUUUUUAGCCGAGACCGUAGAACAAUAGUUCUACGGUAUUUUCAUUAAAGAAAAAUAUUUUAAAAAAUUACAAACAAGCAAUUAAGAUACAACCUACACCAGUUCUGGGAAAAAAGUACAUGGUCAAAUUAAAGAUGCUGCUCUAUCCAACUACGAAGUUGUUCUGCCCUGUUCUGCUUUGCUCUUAGUUGCACCGCCCAGAGUCCUUCUUUGAGGUAGAAUUUCCAAGUUUUCAAAUGUGGAGCAGCCGAUCUGAAAAUCUUGUCAUUCCCAACUGACCAUAUACCCCCAAAAGCCCAUUAUCACAAUGUCUAGUGCAAUUUCUGGAGGCAGGUGUUUAAUAGUCAACAAAAUCUCAUCAUAGGCAUAAAUUCCUCUCUGUUUAUUUGGCAUGAGGUGAUCCCAACAGAGGAGUGCAAAUGGACAACCCCAAAAGAGGUGGACAAGGGUUUCUUCAGUACCCUCUGAGCAGAGGGCACAACUGUAUUCUGGUAACAACAUGCUUUUUCUAUGUAGAAGGUUCCUGGUGUUAUGUCUGUCCUGCAGAAGAAGCCAGUAGAAGAUUUUAUGCCUCAAUCUGCAUGCAGUACUCCAAAGACUUUUGAAGAUGAUAUGAGAUGUGCCUUUUCCCAUAAGCAGGUAGUACAUUUUCCUGGAGGAGUACUGUGAAGAAGACCAAGAAUAUUUCCAUUGAUCAUUAUCUUCAGUAUCCACUCUAUUGUUAAUCAUCUGCAGAACCAAGUUGUAUUGGGUAUAUGCCACAUAAGAGAGUGGUCUAUGGAAUAAAUGGUUGAUAUCCUCCUGUGGUUGCAAAUUGUUCAGUGUAGUGUCUUUGUCUAGAGCAUAAGAGAAGAGCUCAGGAAAUCUGUUGCAGAGUGCUUGUCCAUUCCAUUUAUCUAUCCAGAACAUAAUGGUAUAUCCUUUGUUUGCCUUGCAAAUUGCAUGGUCCUUUUAUAAUGGGAGAAGCUUCAGAACUGCCUUCCACCAAAAUGAUCCUAUCAUCCGCUAUCCCGGCAAAUAAUCUUGAUAAUAAGUCUCCCAAAUAAUGUUGACCCAAGGGAUGUCUUCCUUAUUCAUGAAUUUGUGCAAAUAUUUCCUAAGAAGUGCUUGAUUGUGGGUGGCUAAGUCUAGCACCCCCAGUCCCCCAUGAGUUUUGGGUUUACACACUUUCUCCCAAGCAACAAGAGCAAAGCCAGUAUCCUUAGUACCAUAUUUCCUCCAGAAGCAUUGUUUCAGGUAGAUAUUGAAUUGAUUGAUCACAACUUUUGGUCUCAUCAGAGAACACAUGAAUAAGGUGGGCAUGCUUGUGAAUACUGAUUUCAAUAGUGUGAGUUUAUCACCAGUGGAGAGCAUAUAUAGUGGAGCAGCUGAGCAGUCUAUUUUCUAUCCUUUUCAUCAUGGGUACAAAGUCUUCAAUCUUGGGUUUAUAGAUCCAGAGUGGCAAACCCAAAUAUGAAUGUGGGAGGGAACCAAUUUUACAUUCCAAUAAUUGAGAUAGCAGAUUCAUCUUGGUAGUGGGGGUAUUGAUUGGGAUCAUGAUGGAUUUAGAGUAGUUUACUUUCAACCCAGUAUAUGCAGCAUAAUAUAGGAUGAGGUCUCUAAUAUGAUUCAGUUGCCUUACAUCAACAUUUGCCACCAAGAUAGUAUCAUCAACAUAUUGUAUGAUGGGAUAGUCUGGGCAAGACUGAUGGAGAAGAGGUGAUUCUAGCAAGGAGUGUUGCAUAGAUUCAUUGAAAAUAGAUUGGAGGAGAUCUGCAGCCAGAACAAAUAUUAAUGGGAACAAAGGGUCACCCUGCCUCACCCCUUUUCUGCAUAAAAAGUGCUUUCCAGGUAUUCCAUUAGAACGACUGAUGAGUAGCCUAUGCCAUAUAUCAUUUUAAUCCAGUUGAUCCAUCUGUUGCCAAAACCUUUAGCUUGAAGGAUAUCAAUGAUAGUAUCAUGAUUUAUCAUGUCAAAGGCCUUUUCAAAGUCAAGCUUCAACAGGAUUAUUUCUUUUUUUUUGACUGAUAGCACUAAUGAAUGUAUUCAUAGGACCAAGCAAGACAAUCUUGUAUGCAUCUGUUAUUGAGAAACCCAUAUUGGUUUAUGUGGACUAGUCUCAAAAUUACUUUCUGUAGUCUAUUGGCUAGUAGCUUUGUGAUUAUUUUGAGAGUGCAAUUGAGGAGGAAAAUGGGUCUGAAUUCAGCUGGAGAGGAUGCAGACUCUGUCUUAGGGACCAAUGUGAUAAAAGUGUAGUUAAUACUUUACAGGUUUACUGUCUCCUUGUGGAAAUCUUCAAUUUGUUUAUAAAAAUCCUCCUUAAUUAUCCCCCGACAAGCUUUGAGAAAGGCAACAUUAAAACCAUCAGGGCCAGGAGCUUUGUCAGCAAGCUUGUUUUUGAUAGCCUCAUCAAUUUCCUCUCUACUAAAUGGAGCUUCUAGCUCCUGAAGAUUAUCCUGGGGCAAAUCAGAUGCUGUAGGUGCAGAGGAUUAUGUGUGGUAUCACUGGUUCCCAUCCUAUUUUUAAAGGCUCUAUAUAAGAUAGAUGCCUUUGCUUGGUGAGUGUCAUGUUCCUCACCAGUUUCAUCUUUGAGCAUAGCAAUACAGGUGUUCCUGAAUUUGAUGGUAGCCUAAGCUUGGAAAUACUUAGUAUUGGCCUCCCCCACCUUAAUCUGCCUAAUGGUGGCCCUUUGUUUCCAGUAUAAACGUAGUUGUUUCAACAUAGAUUCCAGAUGAGCUUUCAGUAUAACUCUGCUAUUUGAUUCUACCAGUGUUAGUUCCCUUACAUCCUCAAUAUAGUCAUAGCAGAGGAUCAUGAAGUUGGUGUUCUCAAUGAUUUUCUUCAGAUCAGAAGUGUUCCUGGCCCAGAUCCUUAACCCUUUCCUCAAUCUCUUAAAUUUAGUGGCUAUGGUUUUUUGCACUAUCCAGAUGUGGUAGUUCUUGACUCCAAAUUCUUUGAACCACCUCUUGAAAAUCAGAAUGUUCCAGCCAGAAGUUUUCAAAUCUGAAAAUAUUAGCUCUAGGAAUGGAUGUACCAAUUGUUAUCAUGAUAGACCCAUGAUCAGAAGUGGUCUUAGCAAGGGGGAAUGCCAUAGUGGAUGGAAAGCUUAGUGUCCAGGAUUCUGAAGUGAAACACCAAUCUAGCUUUUCUAGAAGAGGGGCAUCCUGCAUGUUACUCCAAGUAUAUUUCCUCCCUUUCAGUGGAAUCUCAAUAAGAGCCUGAUUACUAAUUGCUUCAUCAAAGGCCAACAUGUCUGUGAUGUUGCCCUCCUCUCUGUUCCUGUUGUGAGGAUACCUGAUAUAGUUAAAGUCUCCAAGCACCAUCCAAUUGGUACCAUCCUAAAUUUGCACAUUUUUAACCAUUCAAUAAGGUUUCUUCUAUCAUUGUGUUGACAAGGACCAUAUAUGUUAGAUAGAAGCCAUGAAUCUCCAUUGGGAUUGGAUGUGAAAGUGAUAGAUAUGGAGUAAUCAUUAGAAUGGGUCAAUUGGCCAUGAAAGAUUUGAUCAUUCCAAGAAAAAAUGAGUCCACCUGAUGCACCAAUAGAAGGCAUGAAUGCAAAUUUAUUGAUUCUUCUGGGACAUAAAUUUUUAAUGUACCCACUAUCAAAAUGUUCUUUCUUAGUCUCAUGUAAACACAGAAUGGCACAUUGCGAUUCUGCAAUUUUAUUUCUGAUAGCAAAACACUUAUAUGGGUCAUUGAUCCCCCUAAUGUUCCAAUUCAAGAUUGUCCACUCCCUAGCCAUCAUAGAAAUGAAAUGUUGCAAGCUUGCUAGCCCUGCUCUGUCUUAAAUCAGUACCCGGAUGAAAGGAAAAUAUACUGCAAAGCUCUUUGUCAGGUAGAGGCUGAUGAGAGAGGUGCUUAGGAGCAGAUAACACUUGAAGAGCAAUAGUUCUACAUAGCUUGGUGACAAAGAGAUAAAAGACCACAGACUCUGCAAUUACAUAUCCACUGGUACACAUGACAGACAAGUUCAACUUGACCCAAAUGAACAUAAAGGUGAACUGCCUUACAACCAAAAUUCCGGUCUGCUACCAGGCAUUGUCUACUUAUUUGCUCUGCUCCUUGGAGGUCUUGGAGUUCUCCUUGCUUGUCUGAGUGGCUUUGGGGCCACCCCUUGUUGUAGGAAUACUCUUGUGCUUCUUGUGCUUGCUGGUAUUGGUGGUGGAAGAGCAUGACAAGCAAGGCAAUUUCUGUCAAAACAUAUAUUCUUUUUAUAGCCCUUGGGCUGAGGUAGUGGAUGCUAAUGCUGAGGCCUUGGAAGCUGAGAUUAAUGGAGAAGUGACUUCUUGUUCUUGUGACUCCUGCUCAAACAAUGAAUCAAAUGAUAGAGGUGUUUCAGUGUAUGGGAAGACUUCAGAUGCUCAGUCAUCUGGUCUCGUUCUACUACCACAGCAGUGAUCACUGGAUCCUCUUCAUUGUUGCUGAUAAGCACCAUCCCUGCAUGAAUGGUGUGUCUUUCAUGAAUGGUGAGCCUGGAAUAGUCCGCACGUGAGGCGUCGAAGGCAACGAGGGCGGCCAAGCUCAAGCGGAAGAAGGUUCAUAUCGUACGGAGGAUGAAGGGCUACAUCAUCCUCUCCUCUUCCUCCGACGGCUCCGAUGAUCCUCCUCCUCCGACGACACUUGUUUUGUAGGGCUCAACCCUCAGAUGAAGGGUAUGUCAGGCAAAUAGUUUGCCGACUGCAAUGAGGAGAAGAAGAGUGCGCACGCGAAGAGUGACGUCUUGGCGAAGCAACUAUGGGAGUUCAGCGAGGAGCUCAUCAGAUCCGCAAAAUGAGUACUCAGAAUAGGCGUCUUUUGCGAUGAUGUCGAACUCAUGGUACAGAUGGUUGGUUAGUGUGUAGCAGCAGCACAAGCAGUAGCUACAACCUACAAGUAGGAACGUGUCACUUGGUGAAGUGAACCAAUAUUGUUCAAGAAUAAAAAUUCCAUCCUUGUUUA